ensembl:lncRNA
CCCACCAUCCCGCCCAUUUAACUGCCUGUCUCUCUCUCUCUCUCUCCCUCUCCUCACCCCUCCCGUUGUCACUCUUCCCCUCUGCUCUUUCUAAUCCUCCAGAGUGCCGUUUUUCUUCCUCUUAAACCGUAUUAAUACAGAGCUCAUCGUUGUCUCGUCGAAUCUGAAUGGAAACCCGGAAGGUCGGAGCAGCUGCCGUCGUUGUUUCAGGCCUCUACUUUCGUCCCCGGCGGGGCCCCCGGGUCCCCCUUCAGGUCGUGACCUCUGUUUUUAACCUAAAACACGGCGGACACGCAAACAGCACUGGGGCUCGGUGAGGUAAAAGUGGAUCCUCCUGGUUCUCUUCUUCUUCUUCUUCUACUUAAACGGUGAAUGGAUGCGGGAGCCUCUGCGGAGGAAAUGUGGAGGUCAUGAGAGCUGCACGGGGCGGCCUCUGGGAAAAUCAGCAGCGGUUUUCAUUGAGAGGGAACUGACUGUUGCACCGGCAAAUAGACGGAGAGGUUUAAAUGCCGUAACAGAAUACAUCAUUAGUGAAAAAAUGACAUGAUACCCUCAGGCUCGCUUGCAUUACAGUUCAUAUUUCUGAACCCUUCCACUCAGAGGCACGGCGCUUAAACUCCAUCACUUCAUUUCUUCUAGUCUUUUAUAAGCUUUCAUUUUAAUAUCUAUAUUUUAAGUGGCGAUGUUUAUUUCAAUCAAGGGUUGAUUGGGAAUGAAGAGACCUUUGAUUGCGCUACAUUUUAGUAGAAAUCUGAAGGCUCCGAAAUGAUGACACGUGAUGUUUUUUGUGAAACAACGGCGGCACAAAUACCGUCUAACACUCCAAGUCUCAACUCAUUACUACUCUUUCUGACUCCAUAGAAGUCAAAGUUCAUCAGCCAGAAGUGGAUUUCUUUCCAUUAUACCUAAUAAACGACACACUCAACUUGUUUUACAGCCUCUUCCCCGGCAGUAGGGUUGCAAAGGGUCGUUGAGCUCAGGAAUUAUUGGAACUUUGGCCUUUUUUGAAACUUAAAUGUAGUUGAGAAGUUCAUUUUAAUACCGACUUCGUCUGUAUACAGUCGUUUUUUUCACAGCAGCGAGAGAAGGGCGUAUGCAUGUGGACACAAACGUGCACCAUCACCUCCAGGGUUUGCUCUACCGUUCAACAGGAGGAGAUGAUAAUCUGAAUGUUCCCGGUUAUCCUGCAAGCCUCAAUGCGGCAUCUUUGUUUUUAUAAUUAUUCUUAUUUCCCGCUGCUGCUGAAUACACACUAAUGAAGUAGACCUCCACCACAAUCCAGUGCAGUCCAGAGCAAGACGUUUGUCAAACAGACACCUGUUUGAGAAGGAUCCUCAAGUAGUAGGAAUAUAUUUUUAUUUUAUAAUUAUAUAUUUGUUCCACAGGCAUCCGAUACACUGUGUUUCUUGUUUGUAAUGAGAAAGCAAAUAGUUGGCAGAGAAGAAGCUGAGGCAGCUGCCGCAUCCACGUUAACGAAGGUAUUCGAAGAUGUGUCAGUCACUUUUUCCCGGCUGUCUCGCAUUCUUUGAGAACGAGACACAAGACGCGCACACAAAUUGUCUCUGCCUUCUUGAUCAGCAACUGAAAUAGGAUAAAUAAAAGUAAAAAAAACAACACCUGGCUGCGAAAAAAAACACGAACAAAACAAAGUCCUGCGACGCGAGAAAUGAUUUCAUUCAGACAAAGUCACAGAUCACAAGAAUUAGGAUCAAAUAAACAGAUAAAUGUGUCACAAGAAAGGAGGAAAAGUUCAUCUGGGCCGCCGGUUUGUUUACAAAUGAGGGAGCAGGCAGAUUAAAGGGAGUUUGUCUCAGUUCAGCACUUGUGUGUUUAAAAGGAAAGGAAAGGAAACAAAUAAAGGGAAAAAUAGAACAGAGAUUCCUCAAGGGAGCUUCGCCAGCCAAAAUGAAAACUCUGUUCAAUUCUGAGCGUUUUAUCCCCCCGUAGAACGAUCACAGGGUCAGUGUCGCCACAAAAACAACACCACCAUUGCAUUAUUUGGUCAAGCUCUUCACAAUAACAUCACACUUCCACGUAGCUAUUUAAAGAUGACUCUUGUUUUUAAAGUAAAGAUCGUAUAUCACUGUCAAAACCCAUCAAAAUGAAGAUUCUUAAAAAAUGCCUACCACAUUUCCCUCAAAAGCUUUUGGUCUUCCUUUGAGGUCCGGUUCCUUCUCUUCACUGAGGACGAACAAAACUCGUUGGAAGCAAAUUAUUUUUACUUUGGCCUCUGACGCGCUCCGCCAUCCGUCAUCGAGAGAAGCUGUGGAAGGUUGAGCUCCAUUUGCACUGCAGGUACAGCACCCACUUACUUAUUUGGUGUUACACAUCAAUCUCCCUCAGCGUUACCGCGGUCACAAAAAGGCUAAAAAUCGAUGGGAGCGAAGUCCAAACGAGCCAAGUGGCAAUCAGCCACGGCGACGAAUAGACAAUCUCUUUAAUUUGGUGGAAAAAAGGGCGAAAUGGAUAAUAAAGGUUGAUGACCCCCGCUUUUAUAUCAUAAGGUCGUAAGACCUUAUGAUAUCAAAUCGGAGCUAUUCGGUCCGUGCCAACCAUCAUCUACUGUAAGUACUACACUGAUUAUGUACAAGUACCUUUUACAAAUCCACUUUAAAACAACCAAAAAAAUCUACAAAUAACUCAUGCUGCUUUUUGAGAGUUGCAUUUCAAAUAAAUGGAAAUCUGCUUGCACUUCAGGGCAAAUACAUUGAUUUGUAUUCUGGUUAAACUGCCCUUUUCUAUGAAUUAUAUAUAUAAAAUAUAUAAAAUGAACACCAAGUUAUCGUACUUAAUCCAGCCGAACACAACCUUUUCCCCCUCCUGCGUAAAAUAGGAAACCUCCCCAUUACCAUAUUAUAUGCAGUAGACACACACACACACACACACACACACACACACACACACACAGACAGAACCCUACAUAAAAAAUGUAAAAAUAAAGUAGCAGCUUUAACUGGUAAAUUAUAAGCACACAGCUGGAGUAACUGGCAACCAUUGCAAUUCAGUUUCAUACCGUUUUUACGUUCAUUGUGCACAACAAAGUGUUGGUGGGUAUUAAAAUAUUCUACGGUAAUCUGCUAACAAACUUUAACAAAAACGUCCAGGCUGCUCCAACUGUGUUUUCUGACAAACAAAACAAAAGAUAUUUGUGUCUGUGUGUUUUUGCACCUUUUUUUCAAACGCCUAAUGGCAGCAUUUGCCCUUUGGCUCUCUGUGGUGUUUUGUGUGUGUGUUUGUGUGUGUGUGUGUGUGUGUGUGUGUGUGUGGUACCCCUGCAGUUUUGUUUUCGUGGGUAUUUGUGCUCGCUGAGAGGGAUGUGCUCUUGUGAUCGAGUGUGUAAUCACAGCAUGUGUCCGUAAAGCAGUGAAACACAGGAGACAAAUUUGGAUUAACACAUACAAACACCCACACACACACACACACACACACACACAAACACACACUCGCACCUAGUAUCGCAAACAGACACACAGAAAUACAAAUGCCAAACCCUGCAAUACAACCCAGAAAAUACAAAUAUUAACAAAUAGCUCUCCGCUCCUCCGUGAUCUUUCCUGCCUGUUGCUCCGGGACGCCGUUUAAUGACUGAGCCAAAUGAAUCACCUCCAGUAAAACACUUCACAGCAAAACUACUUUGUUUUAUUUAAUUUCAGCGCUUUAGGCGAGAUUGUCAGACUCCAAGUGGAAACCCCUCAGCAUGUGCGCGGAGGCGACUCGAUCAGCGUUCCGACUAACUCACCAGCUCGUUGUACCGCUGACGGACGUGUGGACAUUCUGUGGAUUAUUCUGCAUCAAUUAGAUGCAGCAUCCCUGUUACAUUCUUUAUUAUUAAUCCAUAAACGCUACAUUGUAGCUCUACGUGUGCGGUUAAUAUAUCGUGAUCUCAGCAGAGGCUGAAAAAUGUGUAGAAUCUCAUGGGUUACAUAAGAACCAAAGGAUCUGCUGCUAAGGAGUGUGUGUGUGUGUGUGUGUGCGCGCGUGUGUUUUGUUUAAUUAGUUUCACAGGGCAGCCGAAGACAAGAGGGAGAUUGGAGUUUUGGAAUCCUGUCUGUGUCUGGGAGUCAGUUGCUAUCAUGUAUUUCUGUGUGUUCGUGCAUAGAUGUGUGUGUGUGUGUGUGUUUGUUUGUGGUCUCUCAUUGCCAUCUGGUAAAUAACGAGUCACCUGUGAGGUCCGGAGCACCAGUGUGUGUGUGUGUGUGUGUUGUCUCAGCGGGACCGUUGUGAUGCCUGUCGGAGGGCGUUUGGAUCCAACGCAUCAUCAACACGCUCACCCAAACAGACACGUGUUGGCUUUUGUUUCUACAAAUACCCGAGAAAUGAAGAAGAAAUAAUGCUGUUUUAUCUCAAUCCACCUUCAGCGGAAAACGGACGCACUGCUCGUUGUUUUCUCACAUGCAGAAAAGUGUAAAGCAUCUUAAUUAUUGACAUUAACAAAACAGCAACAGAUUAGUGAGAAUUAGUUUCGGUCUUUCGCUGCGAAUUGUAAUUAAAAGCCGUUAAUCGUCACUUUGCUAGAAUGGUCUUUUCUUUAUGGGGGGCGGAGGGGAGGCAAGUAAUGGUGAGGUAAUCAGGGAGUAACGGGUUCCAAAAGACAACUAUGCGUAGUGACUUGGAGGGACACAUUAAUGGCAACCAAUCUGGGCGUGACGGGGAGGCAAUGAUCCGUUGUGUGGCAAUGAGCCGUUGUUUUUUUAACCAUCUAACAGCAUGUGUUUAGAGUUUAUCUUUAGCAACAUUUUCUAAAGUCAAAGAAUGAUAUAGAACAUGGAUGAACGGCAGAGGGGGGCGGGUGGCAGGUGAUGUUUCGUAGCUUCCUCUUUUUUCCUUUCAACUACAAAUUACAUUCAGCGUUGUGAAGAAGGAAUUGAAGGACUUCUUCACAUCACACAGGCGGAAGAUACUGAGUGUAAAUAUAUCGGCUCAGGCGCUGACCUCCAUGCCGCGCGGCGUCGGGGGCCCGGAGCAGAUUGCAGUGUGCAGGAGGGCGUCUCAUCCUGCCCGAGCCCAUCAGCAAAUGAGCAUUAAACCCCCAUUUGAAGCCCUAUUCAAUGACGUCCUCGGCCCCUUGGUGGCCCUCAGUCGGUGGACCUCGACGCCAGUACACCUGCUAGUAUUCAUUUCUGCCGGAACAUUUUUUAUACGUUUAAUUCGCAAACGAGUAUCGCUUUAAAUCUUAAACUUAACCAAAAAUACCCAAAAAGUGUGAAGUUCAGCUGUCCAAUUGGCUUUCUGAAGGUCUUAACAACAAGUAAAAUGAAAGAAUGAAGGCAUUUAAAUCAAAAUGUUAAAUGAGUUAACCCAAUUAAAAUGGUUAUUUCGAACAUUGGAUUUUGUUGUGUUCAUCAUGAGGUCACACAGAGGUCACGGGCAAUUUCAUCUACUCUCUCCCGGCUCCUUUUCUGGACAUAAAACACACGCACACUCUCAGCAGUGAGCAGCGUGAUGCUGAAGCCAUCGAAGCCGAAAUGAUGACGAUCAAUUAAUCAAUGCAAUUGUGUGUUGAAGGACGUGAUGCUUGAGUGGCUCAUUCACACGUACACACGUGUGUCACCGUGAAAUAUUCAUCCGUGUGUUUCUGUGGAUUUGGGGUUCAUGGUCUCUCUCUGACUCCAGGCUUCUCAAAAUCCAUCUAACUGCGACUCUUAAUUAUCACACUGGUAAUCAGACGCGCCUUGAAACCCAGAGGAAGGCGUGGAUGUGCACUCGGGCGCACAUAUCUGUGUCUUAAGGCGAUUCGACACAUAAUGAGAUGGAGGCAGAGGCAGAGGGAGGCACGCGAAUGGAUCACGGGGACGACAAGAUGCAGGUUUAAUGAGAAGCUCGACGGGCGUCACAGCACGUUUUUAUCUGAUGAACAGCCACGUGUUUUGAGAAAUACUGCACUAAAUCCAGGUGACGUGACGUUUCCUCAAAAGGGCGGCGUUAAAAGCGUUGCAAGAUAAUGAGACGAUGGACUUGAAAAGGGAAGAAUUGUUUUCAGAGUCAAAAUGAAAACCCAAAUGUUAUGCGAACCGUGUAAAACAAGCCGGGUGCACGGAACCGUGUGCAAAUGAUCAACAGGUGCCGUGCAGCUCUGAAUCAGAACGUACUGUGCAUAUUUAAAGCCUCUUCCUCUCUGUGAUUAGCUUCAGACAAUUACUUAUUCAUUUUGCCCUGAUGAACAUUAACUGUUGCACUUAAUUCCGUUGACCUUAGUCGGUGUUGAAAUUUGGGUUUAGGGACAAACGCAGAACAGCUGAAACCGAAGCACAACCCGUAGACGUGUUAGCUAAGAACGAGACCGGCGUAGCGAGGUGGAACACGAUCUGAUGCACGUUGAUCGCGUGUUUUUGCGGCGUGUCCCUGUGCAGGUACUUCCUGCUCGUCGCUCUUGUCUUGUCUUUGCGUCCCUUCCUCUCGCCCACCUGCCGUCAGCCGGCCGAUCCGCAGAUCUGUUGGUUGCAUAUGAGUGGGCCUUUUUUUUUUUUUUUUCUUCCUUCUUCAUCUGUCUUCUCUCUCUCUCUCUCAGAAAUUGCUCGACUUCGACAAAUUUGCUUGGCCGGGGGCGAUAUUUAAUUGGCAUUUUCCUUUCUGAAAGCCAAAGGGACCAGGAACAUGAAAUCGUCCCGUUUCCCCUCCGUCGCCCAAGGAAACGUCUCCUGUGGCGCCGGGACAAGUGUGCUCCCAUGGCGACCGUAUGAGUUUUUGUUCCCGUGGCGAUACGAAAGUUAUUCAAGUCCUUUGAUUUCCCAACGGAGCGGAGCGAGGGAGUAAAACAAAGACUGUGAGAAGGAGGGGAAGGCAGAUGGAUCGAGGGAAAUAGAUUAUGAGUGGAUGAGAAAAGGUAGAGACGCCCUGGAAAGGAAAUAAAGAAAGGGAGAGAGAGGACUUCUGGCAUGGCUGGAGGACAAGAACAGAUUGUGCUUUUUCGGGAUCGGUGGAUUGAACGCACCUGCGGCCUAAUUAAGUUUUUUUCCCGAGUAAUAUUCCAACGCAAUUUGCUCAUCCGUCCAUCCGUCCGUCCACCUGUCUGCUUUUUUUAAUCUUUCCUUCCCUGCUUGUGUUUAUUCUCUUCUUCCAAACCAAAGAUGCAGGAAGCAGAUUUAGAUUUUAUUUUUUUUCGGGCUCAGUGAAUUGAACAGCCCCGCAGCAAUCUGCUGUUAUCACCGGGUUUCCAUGGCAACGCUCACUCAUGAGGCGAACUACCUCUCUUUCUUUUGCAGACAGAGCAAAGCGUCUUUUAAAAUGUCAGUAUUUGUCAAAUAAAAUAAAAUAAAAAAACAGUGAAUGGCCUUCUGUCUGAUUUCAUGUCUCCAUUAUAUUUGAAUACAAAUUCCUGGCUUAGUUCUGUUAUUCUGGCCGGCUUUUUAACUCCAUGUUCCUUCAUCGGUGUACUAAACCAUUAUUGGCCAACAUAGAGAAUGCUUGUUUAUAUCAGCAAACACUAGCUUAACUCUGCAAACAAAUGUCCUGCUUUGCACAAACACAAAAGCAAAGGGAGUGUGAAUGACUUCUUCUUUUGUCUCUAUUUAUCUGCUAAAAAGUUGGUCAAAUUCAUUCUUCAAUGCAGCAGUUUCACACUAGUUUGAAGAUUCCGUCCACCCUUAAUUAUUACAGUCUGCUGGAUCUCUGUGAGGAUUACUGCAGGGGGGCGCGUGGGCAUGAAGGGACAUGCAUUCAACACACCAUUGUUCAUGUCAUGGGGUCAAAAUGUAUCUUUACAAAUAUCACUUCCAGUGAUACGAGCACUUGUGAUCAUGAGGUAGCACACUUCUCUUAUAACGGAAUUUUCAAUUCUCCUUUUUUUUUUUCUGCCCAAACAUUUCCUGGUGCCGAUCCUGGUUAAAUAGUCCAGAAGCUGUUUGAAGUUUGCUCAGUUGAUUCACGGUGACUCUUCACAUUUCUCAAUUGCGCAAACAGCAGAUUCUAAAUGAGGCUUGAAGCCAACUAAGCUCUUCCGCCGAAGGCACCUUCCCGGGCAGCGCAUGUCCGUCAAGUAUCAAGUAUAAGUAUAUAAUUCAGCUCUUUUCAUCUAGCAUCGCAAACACACUAAUAAUGAGGCUGGUACACACACACACACACACACACACACACACACACACACACACUGAGCUAAUACGGGCUCAUUUGAAGUGCGCUCUUGUAUACACCCAAAGGGCCUUGGACACCUGCUACUGCGGGAAAUUAGAAGAGACACACACACACACACACCGGAGGCUUGAGGAUGUUUGAGGCAGAUGUGGUGUUUGCAGCCUCGUUUAGUGGUCAAGUACACACAGGAUUUCUAAAUAACACCUUUCAGUGCUUCUUUCUGGAUUCUAUUCGCCGCUCAAAAGCAACACCAGUGUUACUCCGCAUUAUAUUUCUGGUUCUACACAGUAAAUUCCCCCCCUGUUAAAUGAUCACUGUCAGAAGUAUAUUCACUUUUUCAGUUAUUACAACAAUAGCAAGCGUAAAUACCAAUCUGGCCCCCAGUGUUGGGGCCAAUCAGGGUCAAACAGGAAAUUGACGUGACCUCAUCGAUCUGCUGUUAACUUCUGCCAACCGGCCAACGUAAGUAAGGCACGUUUCAGUUUGACGGAUACAUGUUUUCGGCCCCGCCCGCCCCCUCAUGUCAGACGUCCCAGGGUCUAAUACCAUGUGACUGAAUUCAGCUCACAGCUCAUCAAAUAAAACACAGUGGCAGAACAGUUGUCCUCCAGUGUGUAUGAAUGUGUGUGUAUGUGUGUGUGUGUGUUGGGCUGAUUGAUGUGGAAAGGCGAGAAUCGCAGGAGGGUUCACGGGUCUGUCCGUCUUUAUUAGGUUUCCCUCGGAAAGGGGCUGUUUUUAAUUGUGUCUGGAGGCUGUGUUUGUUUUGUUUUCACUGACCUCGGUGGAAACGUGCGGGUUGGCGCUCUGAAGAACUCGUGUCAGGCUGCUGGUGCCGGAGUGAGCUCAUUGCUUUAAAGGUUGUAACUUUUUGCUAUUUAGUAUUUAGAACUAUGGACAGAGCCUUGACCUUCUUCAGCAUCGAACACCUUUGGGGUGAAAGGAAGGCCGCCCCCCUUGAGCCGCCCCCUUAUCGUCGGUGUCCGACCCCCGUUAAUGCUCUGGAGGCUGAAUGGGGGCAAAUCCCUGCAGCAAGGUUCCAGCAUCUGAAUGCAGCUUGUCAGAUAAUAUUGUUAUAUUAUUAUAUCUAACUGGGUAUCAAUGUGAUUUAGGCAACUUUCGACCCCGUGAAUGUAGUAUUUUACCCUCCAAAAAAAUACACACCGUGCACCAACACACCUGCCACACUGUUUUACACCCACUGUCACAUCACGCACACACACACACACACACAUACACACACCAGCGCCUCAAAGGGGCCCUUUGAUCCCUCUAAUUAUUUUUUGAAAUGAUUUUAUCAUUUAGUGUCACUUGAAGGUAGACUCUGACUCUGACACUCUGUCACUGGCUCUUUCUCACUCUCUGCGUGACUGUGAAAGUGUGUGUGUGCGCUCAUGUGUGUCUGCAGUUAAUAAAGGAACGAUGCUAUCGGGGCUCGGUGAAGCGCUGCGGGUCAUCAUGUCCCUUGGAGGACGGUACCAAUAAAGAAUAAUUAGAGGAUUAGGAUAAAUGUCUGCAACUAUGAACGUACAAGACGAGGGUGGCUUUGUUGAUACGGCACGAAGCAGCAAAUGAGGAUUUCACGAACCCGCGUUAAAAAGUCAAGGAGAUAAUCAGCAGCUUGAUCCAUGAUCGAGUCCUAUUCAUUACAGCCCCGUAUGUAAAAUAGUAAAAAGAAAAAAGCUGCUCUUCAUCAAUCAACAGUCAAAGUUCUGCUUAUUUAUGUAUAAAAUAAAUAAAUCUACCAGAACGAGAGAAGUUGUUCAGCUGAACUCUUCCACAUGUCCCCAACCGGGCCUCCAGUUUUGAUCACGGUUCUUUGAAAACAUACCCGCGUGUGUUUUCUCCAUCACGUCAUCAUUUUAUCUUUAGAUGUAGACCUUCGACCCCUCAUUCGUGACAUUUCCCGGGUCAUGUUUGCAGAGUAGAAGCACACACACACACACACACACACACACACACACACACACACACACACACACACACACACACACUGGUCCUCGAGCAGCAAUCACAACUUGAACAGAGGUGUCUCUCACGGCUGACGUGUCAAACGAAUGCUCGGGAGACUUUACGACAUCACCAAAUGUUUUUGCCUGAAGCGAGCUGUCAGAAAAAACAAAACAAAAAAAAAACAGUCAUUCGGUGCCUAACAAUUUGUUCAAUAACAAAUCAAAUUGCUGUCACAUGCAAGCAAGUCAGAAAGUAAUCCGGAUGUACGUGUAAAACUACCAUUCAACCGUUUCUUUUCUUCUGACCUGAAACGACUGGGAUACUUGGUCCAUCUCUUGGACAGGAGCCCGCUAACGUGCUGUAUUACGCCGCGUCGCCUCGUUCCAGUGGAUUAACAGCUGCUCUUCCUCACCAGUUGGCAUUAGACGGUCCAACGAGGUUCGUCUUUAUUCGUCUCCGCAGGUGUUUCGCUUUCUUCAGACGAUUGUAUUUUGUCAUUUCAUCUUUUGCGCAGAUUUAAGUUCACGGCCGACUUAUGGGGCCGCGGCGCCACGCGGCCCCCCGAUGGCAUCUCGUGGCCUUUGUCACGCGCCAUCUUCAUUACGUGCAGCCGCGAGCCGACGAUGUAAAACGAAUGAAUACAAUCCCAAAACAAAAGGCUCCGCUGCCUUUCUAUUGGAGAGAGAGGCGAGGUCAGUAAGCCGGAGACGGAGGGC